rnacentral:rRNA from 1 species
GACGAACGCUGGCGGCGUGCUUAACACAUGCAAGUCGAACGGAAAGGCCCUGCUUUUGUGGGGUGCUCGAGUGGCGAACGGGUGAGUAACACGUGAGUAACCUGCCCUUGACUUUGGGAUAACUUCAGGAAACUGGGGCUAAUACCGGAUAGGAGCUCCUGCUGCAUGGUGGGGGUUGGAAAGUUUCGGCGGUUGGGGAUGGACUCGCGGCUUAUCCGCUUGUUGGUGGGGUAGUGGCUUACCAAGGCUUUGACGGGUAGCCGGCCUGAGAGGGUGACCGGCCACAUUGGGACUGAGAUACGGCCCAGACUCCUACGGGAGGCAGCAGUGGGGAAUAUUGCACAAUGGGCGGAAGCCUGAUGCAGCAACGCCGCGUGCGGGAUGACGGCCUUCGGGUUGUAAACCGCUUUCGCCUGUGACGAAGCGUGAGUGACGGUAAUGGGUAAAGAAGCACCGGCUAACUACGUGCCAGCAGCCGCGGUGAUACGUAGGGUGCGAGCGUUGUCCGGAUUUAUUGGGCGUAAAGGGCUCGUAGGUGGUUGAUCGCGUCGGAAGUGUAAUCUUGGGGCUUAACCCUGAGCGUGCUUUCGAUACGGGUUGACUUGAGGAAGGUAGGGGAGAAUGGAAUUCCUGGUGGAGCGGUGGAAUGCGCAGAUAUCAGGAGGAACACCAGUGGCGAAGGCGGUUCUCUGGGCCUUUCCUGACGCUGAGGAGCGAAAGCGUGGGGAGCGAACAGGCUUAGAUACCCUGGUAGUCCACGCUGUAAACGGUGGGUACUAGGUGUGGGGUCCAUUCCACGGGUUCCGUGCCGUAGCUAACGCUUUAAGUACCCCGCCUGGGGAGUACGGCCGCAAGGCUAAAACCCAAAGGAAUUGACGGGGCCCCGCACAAGCGGCGGAGCAUGCGGAUUAAUUCGAUGCAACGCGUAGAACCUUACCUGGGUUUGACAUGGAUCGGGAGUGCUCAGAGAUGGGUGUGCCUCUUUUGGGGUCGGUUCACAGGUGGUGCAUGGCUGUCGUCAGCUCGUGUCGUGAGAUGUUGGGUUAAGUCCCGCGACGAGCGCAACCCUUGUUCACUGUUGCCAGCACGUUAUGGUGGGGACUCAGUGGAGACCGCCGGGGUCAACUCGGAGGAAGGUGGGGAUGACGUCAAGUCAUCAUGCCCCUUAUGUCCAGGGCUUCACGCAUGCUACAAUGGCUGGUACAGAGAGUGGCGAGCCUGUGAGGGUGAGCGAAUCUCGGAAAGCCGGUCUCAGCUCGGAUUGGGGUCUGCAACUCGACCUCAUGAAGUCGGAGUCGCUAGUAAUCGCAGAUCAGCAACGCUGCGGUGAAUACGUUCCCGGGGCU